UGAUGACUGUUCCUCCUAUUGCCUUUAGACAUGGCACCAGGAUUUUAGGUCAUCAUAAAUUAAAAUUGAUUUUUUUUUCACUCAGGGAAUAACAAGAUAAUGGAAUUAUCUGUGUAUUCUCUGAAAUUUUUGAGAUCAAACAAUU
ensembl:snoRNA small nucleolar RNA SNORA79